GUGCCAGCCGCCGCGGUAAUACGAGGGGUCCAAGCGUUGUUCGGAAUCACUGGGCGUAAAGCGGGUGUAGGCGGCUACGCAAGUUGGGUGUGAAAGCCCCGGGCUCAACCCGGGAAGUGCAUUCAAAACUAUGUAGCUUGAGUACGAGAGAGGAAGGUAGAAUUCCAGGUGUAGUGGUGAAAUACGUAGAUAUCUGGAGGAACACCGGUGGCGAAGGCGGCCUUCUGGCUCAGUACUGACGCUCAGACCCGAAAGCGUGGGUAGCAAACAGGAUUAGAUACCCUGGUAGUCCACGCCGUAAACUAUGGACACUUGGUGUUGGAGGUAUUGACCCCUUCAGUGCCGGAGCUAACGCGUUAAGUGUCCCGCCUGGGAAGUACGGUCGCAAGAUUAAAACUCAAAUAAAUUGACGG
rnacentral:rRNA from 1 species